UACGUAGGGUCCGAGCGUUGUCCGGAAUUACUGGGCGUAAGAGCUCGUAGGUGGUUUGUCGCGUCGACUGUGAAAACCCGCGGCUCAACCGUGUGGUCUGCAGUCGAUACGGGCAAGCUAGAAUUCGGUAGGGGAGACUGGAAUUCCUGGAUGUAGCGGUGAAAUGCGCAGAUAGUCAGGAGGAACACCGGUGGCGAAGCGGUCUCUGGCGAUAUGAC
rnacentral:rRNA from 1 species